AGCACACACGGGGAGCUUAUUUUGCUGGCCGUUCAGCCAUGUUUACUACAGUAUUGUUCCCAUCUACAGUUAUCAGCACAGCUUGUUGAGUUCUUUUUUAACAUCGUCAUAGAUAUUUUCACCACUGGUUUAUUUUCUGCUCGUUCACUCAGAGGAUGUUUAAGCAGCAUUAUCAAAAAAAAAACUAAGAGCACAUCCUUACAGACAUACUGUACAUACGACACAUACAAACCAAAGCACACGUACUCAUACACGCACGUCUUAGAAUAGCAUCACUCUGAUAUAUACAGAUAUAGAGAAUGAGUAAAAAAAAACAAGAAAAAAAAAGAAAAACUAUUUUCAGUUUUUACAUCUCAAUAUAAGAGUCAUACCAAAGACAUGGCCACCAAGUGAGUAAACAAUAGAUAAAUAGAUAUAAAACAAAUACAAAAAUAAAUAAACAUAAAUACUUGCAUUAAUUGAUAAAAGAUGAUUUGAGUUUUUUAACUCACUGUUUACUUUUAAACAUGUUUUUUUGUUCAAGUCUAUAUAUAAUCAGCGCACCACUAUUAACUGAUAAUUUUACCUCAACAACAAAGUACUGGUUCAUUACCCAAUCGGAGAACGUGAAAGCCCGCCCCUCAGCCCCGUGACUGGGUGGUUGACGUAUGUAUCGUCUGUACAUUAGCCGUUAACAUCAUGUUCGACAUGACAUGAUCACGUGUGACACAGAGUCACUGUUUUCAGCACCAUUAACAUCGCCAUGACUGUCACCAUUGUACCAACAUCCACAACUUCAGGUAGGACACAGCACUGUCCAGAUAAGAAAACUGUAAUUAUCAAGACUUUUUUUGUUGUUGUUUUUUCUUUUUUUUCUUUAAAAUUUGCUUUCCUGAAUUUUUCGGACCACCAACGGCUGUGGUGUUAAAAACACGUAACAGUUUUUUAGCAUACCUGCAAACCUUGUUAGCAUCAGAGCACUGCUUUACUUGCUUUAAACUGGCUACUACACAUAUCCCUACGACGCCUUCGAGGACUUGUUGUUUGCAGUGGAAUUUUAGGGGUGAGGUUGCAGAGCCCCUCAAGUUUAGUUGUAUGACACUUUCACAUUAGCAUAUUAUGGUGGCUCUCGUGCACAUGUGACUUCAAGGGCUCUGGGGAAAUUGGCAGAACCAUAGACUGCAUAUGAAAGAUGGACGUGGAAGUCUGCAUUCAUUCUAAAGCAGCCGACCGAAGCGAAGUGCUUGGACCAGUUUCCCAUAAGACAGAUCUACCGUGGCUCGGGACCUCAGGUCGCAAAAGGCAAAGAUGACGACAGCCAUUCAUUUUUUAUACACAGUCUUAUAGUCGCAGCACAUCCACAAGAUCCAAACAAACAUUGUGUGGUAGUGAAGUAUGAGUAGCAGCAGAUUAAACAGACCACAGCAAAAGCUUAGAGAAACUGGGUGUGCUAGAGGAUGUUAUUCAGGUACUGGCCAGGGAUGAUUUGGCUCUUAUUUGUCUAAUACAGGAUAUGUAACCACAAAGUACAUCAUUAACCAUGAUUGCUAAAAAGCAAGUAUAUAAGCUGCUCGUAGCGAUUUGCUCUACCAACUGACCUAAAGUACACAAGAGACUGUAAUUUUUCCUACGCUUAUUCCUGCAAGACAUUACAAUAAACUUGUGUACAAUCGGCAUACAGUUGAAUUGAAGCCACACUGGAAACAGAAGCAGGAAGAAACUCCAAAAGUAAAGGGCACACUGCUCCUGUCUACUUGUAAUCUAAUUACAAGUUAUGUUUUCCGGAUAUAAUCUGUCAGGUGAGCUUUUUGAAGGACUACAGUCUAAAUGUUGGCACAAAUUCGUGGCUGUUUAAUGUGGUAUUUACUGUGACAUUUGUGCCAUACAAGUAGUUUUUUGUGCUUGUGGCUGUUAGCCAUAAAUAUAGAUCCCCUGAAGACUUGUCAAACCAGAGCAAGUGCACAAACAUCUAUGGGGUUUAUGUUUCAAAUACAAAUGCUUGUAUUUGGUGUGAAGUUGACGAAUCACGUGUUCGUUAGACUCUGAUGAAGACUUAAAGUCAACACAUAUUGUCUGACUUUGCCAGAAAGCUUGUAGAAUAAAUCAUCGUUGUACUUGAAAACAGAGUGCCUUGGUUUUGUUUUGUUUUGUGCCAUCCCCAGUCAAUAUCUAGCAUCACUUCAUAAAUUGUAUUAUUAUUAUUUUAAAGAUCUUCCAAUUCCAAGUCCUAAGGUUAAUAAAUCAGUUAAACUGGCAUCAUGAGCAGCUAGUCUUCAUCACUGCAUGGUGCACUAAAUGCAUUUUGAAAAGCGCUUUCAUCAACAUACUUCUUAAUAUGCAUCUGGGUCACAUAAUGUAAUGUUUUCUAGAUCAGCUAUCCUUAAAAUAAAACCACAGCAUAGGUUGAAGUAUUUCUGGGAUGGCCAUAAAGAUCAGAUCACCUUAAAUGCACAGACUAACCCUAAAGGCUUUUAAGUAAAAGGAGAAAGAACGUCUUUGAAAAGAACUUCAAAGAGAGGCUGCCGGAGAGAAAGCUGUUGUGUAAAAUGCAAGAGGACAAAUGCUGGCUUUGAUGCAACUAUUUUUUUUCCUUUUAACUGUUCUUCCUUUGGGUGGUGUUGCUGACCCUGCGUGAUUCUUUCAGCAUCCAGCAGCUUCUAAUUGAUAUCAACACAUCCACACCUGGGAGCAGCAGCAUUUAAACUUCGACCUCUGAAGCUGCUUACUGAUCAGCUCUGCUGGAUAUGUUCAAGGUGUAUCUUCCUGCUGCAGGUCAUCGCAACAAGAGUUUAAAGGUGCAAAGAGAAUUUCUAUGCCAAUCUGCUUUUCCUUUCUAUUCAACAAACGUACUGCAAAUCUAUCAGCCUUUGGGGGCAGGGGUACAUAAGGAUAUCCAGAGCAGCAGCUAAUGGAUAUCUGAGCCAGGAUUUCCUGCUCUGUCCAGAAGUCUUUGUUUACUAUUGCAGAUUAAUUUUAGAACUGAUUGUUUUGAGAUUGCAUUUGCCAAAAUUCAAUCCCUUAUUUGGUCUAUGGACAGACUGUUUACCUGUAUGCAACCAAGGCCCUGUGCUAAUUUAAUAGAAGACCAACAGGACUACAAAUUGACUACAAACAGAAAACAAAAGCAUCUGCUUCCAGAUUUCAGAUUCUUCUUAUUCUUAUGCAGACAUCAGUCUGAAUUCAAAUCUUCAGAAAUCUUUAAAUCAAAGACCUGAUUGUGGAUUUAUUUUGUAAACAGCGCCACCUUUCACUCGACCCUUGCCAACAUCUUGUUUCUGAGAAGAAACGACACCUAAUGCUGACUAGCUAGCUUAAUAAAACAUGAAGGUGCUUUGCAUCUUUAAUUGUUCGUAUUCAGUUUGCUUUGAGCAAAUGUCUGUUAUUCACUGUUAAAUGUAUUCAGCAAAGUAGUGUUGAUACCGUAAAGAGUAAUUUCUCACUGUUUUCUUUGAAAAAUGUUGUUUGUGGAAACCUUCAUAUUCUACAUGUUACGAGUUCUGAAAAACUUUGGAUGAGAUUUAGAAUUUCACAAGAAAAUGAAGCUUUUUCACUCAAAAGUCAUUCGUCUAACUACAGCUUAUUAUAACAGCUUAUAUCUGACAUCUGUAUUUAUUCAACUGUACAUCACAGGCCUGUUUGUGGUGAGUUACAGCAUGCCAUAUGGUGGGAGCCAUGGCAGAAGUUGCCCACUUUCACAUCCUCACAUUUAGUCCUGAUUUAUUUUUUCCAGACGAGUCCUUUCUCGUGUCGGGCAUUGACAGCGCAGCUGGGAUGUAAACAGGGAGACUUUUGCUAUGGCUGCUAUCAUAACACAUAUGGAUGAGUGAAUAUAUCACAUGUAGAUGUCAGGCCUACAUUUCCAUCAUCGUGGUCGCAUGAGAUCGGAGCCAAGCGUACAAGAUUACGUUUCUUUUGGGACACGACUGACGGAUGGUUGUGAGGGACAUGCAACCUUUUGGUGUCAUAAUUGGACACAAAUUAGCAAAUAUUGUUGUGUUUUAUUCUUGCUAAAAGAAAUGCACGACUUUAUAUGCAUGUGUUCUUCCAUGUUACUGUGAUUCUCAAAGUAUGAAACAUAACAAGUUCGCAAUGAGUUGGUGAUUGCGAUGUUAAAAAAUGUCUAUUUUUUGGAUGCAAAGCAAGAUAUCUUUGUUACCAAAUGUCUGACGAAGGACUGGAAAAUGACUUUUUUCAAUUUAAGUCCCGACUUUACAAAACCAAAUCACACCGAACCAAACUGAUUGCAUGUCCCAUGCAUUUCUAGUUUCCUAAACAUUCCUCGGAAAGUCUCUGUUGUCUUUCUUGGGUCAAAGGCUCAAGUUCAUGCAGCCGACCGCUUCUCAAUUAUCUCAAACUUCACAACUUAAUUUCUUGCAAAUUAUUUUACUUCUUGUACUGACCGUGCAGGAUAAAACAAAAUCUAACACACCUUGGUCCCAGGAUGAGGGAUAUUUUCCUUCCCUCAAAACUUUUAGAAAAAAAAAUUCGAAGAUUAUCCCAGUUCAGCAUUACUCCGCUGACUUCCCAUGGCUCAUUCAUGCUACUUACUCCCGGACUGCUUUGGUCCCAGAUUGCGCUUCACAUUUUACAAUCAAGUUUU
ensembl:lncRNA